rnacentral:rRNA from 1 species
CGUGUAGGCGGGAAUGCAAGUCAGAUGUGAAAUUCCAGGGCUCAACCCUGGCGCUGCAUCUGAAACUGUGUUUCUUGAGUGCUGGAGAGGAAAGCGGAAUUCCUAGUGUAGCGGUGAAAUGCGUAGAUAUUAGGAGGAACACCAGUGGCGAAGGCGGCUUUCUGGACAGUAACUGACGCUGAGGCGCGAAAGCGUGGGGAGCAAACA